rnacentral:rRNA from 1 species
GAUGAACGCUGGCGGCGUGCUUAACACAUGCAAGUCGAACGAUGAAGCCCAGCUUGCUGGGUGGAUUAGUGGCGAACGGGUGAGUAACACGUGAGUAACCUGCCCUUAACUCUGGGAUAAGCCUGGGCAACUGGGUCUAAUCCCGGAUAGGACCGUCCACCGCAUGGUGGGUGUUGGAAAGCUUUAUCGGUUUUGGAUGGAAUCGCGGCCUAUCAGCUUGUUGGGGUGGUAAUGGCUCACCAAGGCGACGACGGCUAGCCGGCCUUAGAGGGUGACCGGCCACACUGGGACUGAGAGACGGCCCAGACUCGUACAGGAGGCAGCAGUGGGGAAUAUUGCACAAUGGGCGCAAGCCUGAUGCAGCGACGCCGCGUGAGGGAUGACGGCCUUCGGGUUGUAAACCGCUUUCAGUAGGGAAGAAGCGAAAGUGACGGUACCUGCAGAAGAAGCACCGGCUAACUACGUG